AGAGUUUGAUCAUGGCUCAGGAUGAAUGCUGGCGGCGUGCCUAAUACAUGCAAGUCGAGCGGUAAGGCCCUUCGGGGUACACGAGCGGCGGACGGCUGAGUAACGCGUGGGAACAUGCCCCAAAGUGAGGGAUAACGCACCGAAAGGUGUGCUAAUACCGCAUAUGGUCUUCGGAUUAAAGGAUUUAUCCGCUUUGGGAGUGGCCCGCGUACGAUUAGAUUGUUGGUGAGGUAACGGCUCACCAAGUCGACGAUCGUUAACUGGUCUGAGAGGAUGAUCAGUCAGACUGGAACUGAGACACGGUCCAGACUCCUACGGGAGGCAGCAGUAAGGAAUCUUCCACAAUGGGCGAAAGCCUGAUGGAGCAACGCCGCGUGCAGGAUGAAGGCCCUCGGGUCGUAAACUGCUUUUAUGAGUGAAGAAUAUGACGGUAACUCAUGAAUAAGCACCGGCUAACUACGUG
rnacentral:rRNA from 1 species